CCCUUAGAUGUUCGGGGCCGCACGCGCGCUACACUGAAGGAAUCAGCACGUCUUUCUCCUUGUCCGAAAGGACUGGGUAACUCGCUGAACCUCCUUCGUGCUAGGGAUUGGGGCUUGUAAUUCUUCCCCAUGAACGAGGAAUUCCCAGUAAGCGCGAGUCAUAAGCUCGCGUUGAUUACGUCCCUGCCCUUUGUACACACCGCCCGUCGCUACUACCGAUUGGAUGGUUUAGUGAGAUCCUCGGAUUGGUCCCGGAGCGGCCUCUGGUCGUGCCGGAGUGCCGAAAAGAAUGUCGAACUUGAUCAUCUAGAGGAAGUAAAAGUCGUAACA
rnacentral:rRNA from 1 species